GGAUUAGAUACCCUGGUAGUCCAUGCUGUAAACGAUGAAUACUCGAUGUUGGCGAUACACUGUCAGCGUUCAAGCGAAAGCAUUAAGUAUUCCACCUGGGGAGUACGAUCGCAAGGUUGAAACUCAAAGGAAUUGACGGGGGCCCGCACAAGCGGUGGAGCAUGUGGUUUAAUUCGAAGCAACGCGCAGAACCUUACCAACCCUUGACAUCCUGUGCUAACUCCAGAGAUGGAGUGUUCCCUUCGGGGACGCAGUGACAGGUGCUGCAUGGCUGUCGUCAGCUCGUGCCG
rnacentral:rRNA from 1 species